rnacentral:rRNA from 1 species
CCAGACUCCUACGGGAGGCAGCAGUGAGGAAUAUUGGUCAAUGGCCGGGAGGCUGAACCAGCCAAGUCGCGUGAGGGAAGACGGCCCUACGGGUUGUAAACCUCUUUUGUCAGGGAGCAAGGUGCAGGUCGGGACCUGCUGUGAGAGUACCUGAAGAAAAAGCAUCGGCUAACUCCGUGCCAGCAGCCGCGGUAAUACGGAGGAUGCGAGCGUUAUCCGGAUUUAUUGGGUUUAAAGGGUGCGCAGGCGGAGGCACAAGUCAGCGGUAAAAUCGCGGGGCUCACCCCCGCUCCGCCGUUGAAACUGUCGGACUAGAGACGGCGAGAAGUACGCGGAAUGCGCGGUGUAGCGGUGAAAUGCAUAGAUAUCGCGCAGAACUCCGAUUGCGAAGGCAGCGUACCGGCGCCGGACUGACGCUGAGGCACGAAAGCGUGGGUAUCGAACAGGAUUAGAUACCCCAGUAC